rnacentral:ncRNA from 1 species
ACGGAAGUCCGGUGAGGCCAAGGUCGAUUCGGAAGAGAAGGGUCGAUCUCCCGAACCGGGCGACCCAGCACGGGCCUCCGGUACCCACGGGGAGCUACAGCCGCGAUAAUGGCAGAAGUGUUGCGGGCCUGCGUUGUUGCGAAAAGCGGACGGUCUCGACAGCCCUUUGGGUGGGGUUGCAACUGAGGCGCAUCGCAAGACCGCCGAGGCCACCCACGCAGCCCACGUGUCGCACGCCUGGUAACCGAGUUCCGUGCUAGCGGGCGGCGCAACGCGAUCAGCGUGGUGCCGCCCGCUUCAUUUG